GCCAGAUGCUGUUUGCGAGGGUUGGUGCCACUGCAAACCCUCAAGAUGCUGCAAGUCACAAAUGAUGCUUCUAGGGCCAGAGAAAUGAAAAGGAACCCCAAACCAUUAUCCCAAGGAUUGCCAAACCUAGAAUUACUGGAAGCAGCUGAAUGUUUGGACAGGCUGGAGCUUGGUUAAUGAGCAGCAUACAAGUGAGCUUACUGGCACGGAGAUCCACACUCCAAGGAGCAUUCAUGUCAAUGUCUGCUGCAGCUCUUCACAGCAGUCCUUCAUACUGAGAUGAGACUCUCCUGGUUUCUGCAAGCAUUUAUUGUGUGAAGGAAUGGCCUGUUACAAAACCACUGUUCAUCCCUGUUGUCCCAACUCAAACUUUUUCCAACAUCAGUCCAUCUUCUUGGAAAGUGAGAAGGAACAGAACUACACGUACGUAUCCAAGCUUUGGACAAAACAUGGAUUUAGACAGCAACAUGGUGAUAUAAUCUGUAUUUUUAAGAAAGCUAAAUAUUCCUGUUUUAUUAUGACUGUGCACUGAGAUGAUGUGUUUGUUAUACACCCUGCUUUACUACUGCUGAACUGUAAGCUUUCAGAAGGUUCCCCAACAUUAUAUCUUUGAAGUUAGGAGUGUUUUUUCAUAUCUAUCCAUUUAUGUUAGAGCUAAUAUAUCAUUUUAAGACCUCAUUACUUGGUCCUUAGGGUUUUGCUAAUAUUUUCUACACAAAAUACACAGUUAUGCUAUAGAAACCCAGCUUCACUUAAUACAA